UUUUGAGACAGACUCUCGCCCUGUCACCCAGGCUGGAGUGCAAUGGCGACAUCUGGGCUCACUGCAACCUCUGCCUCCCGGGUUCACAGGAUUCUCCUGCCUCAGCCUCCCAAGUAGCUGGGAUUACAGGCGUUCGCCACCACGCCCAGCUACUUUUUGUAUUUGUAGUAGAGACGGGUUUCAUCAUGUCGGCCAGGCUGGUCUCCAACUCUUGACCUCCUGAUCCGCCCACCUCAGCCUCCCAAAGUGCUGGGAUUACAGGCGUGAGCCACUGUGCCCAG
rnacentral:lncRNA from 10 species